rnacentral:rRNA from 1 species
AUUGAACGCCGGCGGCAUGCCUUACACAUGCAAAUCGAACGGUAACGGGCCUUCGGGUGCCGACGAGUGGCGAACGGGUGAGUAAUACAUCGGAACGUGCCCGAUCGUGGGGGAUAACGAGGCGAAAGCUUUGCUAAUACCGCAUACGAUCUACGGAUGAAAGCAGGGGACCGCAAGGCCUUGCGCGGACGGAGCGGCCGAUGGCAGAUUAGGUAGUUGGUGGGAUAAAAGCUUACCAAGCCGACGAUCUGUAGCUGGUCUGAGAGGAUGAUCAGCCACACUGGGACUGAGACACGGCCCAGACUCCUACGGGAGGCAGCAGUGGGGAAUUUUGGACAAUGGGCGCAAGCCUGAUCCAGCCAUGCCGCGUGCAGGAUGAAGGCCUUCGGGUUGUAAACUGAUUUUGUACGGAACGAAAAGCCUUCUUUUAAUACAGGAGGGUCAUGACGGUACCGUAAGAAUAAGCACCGGCUAACUACGUG